GAUGAACGCUGGCGGCGUGCCUAAUACAUGCAAGUCGAGCGAACGGACGAGAAGCUUGCUUCUCUGAUGUUAGCGGCGGACGGGUGAGUAACACGUGGAUAACCUACCUAUAAGACUGGGAUAACUUCGGGAAACCGGAGCUAAUACCGGAUAAUAUUUUGAACCGCAUGGUUCAAAAGUGAAAGACGGUCUUGCUGUCACUUAUAGAUGGAUCCGCGCUGCAUUAGCUAGUUGGUAAGGUAACGGCUUACCAAGGCAACGAUGCAUAGCCGACCUGAGAGGGUGAUCGGCCACACUGGAACUGAGACACGGUCCAGACUCCUACGGGAGGCAGCAGUAGGAAAUCUUCCGCAAUGGGCGAAAGCCUGACGGAGCAACGCCGCGUGAGUGAUGAAGGUCUUCGGAUCGUAAAACUCUGUUAUUAGGGAAGAACAUAUGUGUAAGUAACUGUGCACAUCUUGACGGUACCUAAUCAAAAAGCCACGGCUAACUACGUG
rnacentral:rRNA from 1 species